rnacentral:rRNA from 1 species
CCCUCUUUCCCCCUCUUUUUUCUUCUUCCUUGGGCGUAAAGGGUGCGUAGGUGGCGCUGUAAGUCGGGUGUGAAAUUUCGGAGCUUAACUCCGAAACUGCAUUCGAUACUGCGGUGCUCGAGGACUGGAGAGGAGACUGGAAUUCAUGGUGUAGCAGUGAAAUGCGUAGAGAUCAUGAGGAAGACCAGUGGCGAAGGCGGGUCUCUGGACAGUUCCUGACACUGAGGCACGAAGGCCAGGGGAGCAAACGGGA